GACAGAGGGUGCAAACGUUGUUCGGAAUUACUGGGCGUAAAGCGUGCGCAGGCGGCUCCUUAAGUCAGAUGUGAAAGCCCCGGGCUUAACCUGGGAACUGCGUUUGAAACUGGGGGGCUAGAGUGUGGAAGAGGGGGGUGGAAUUCCAGGUGUAGCAGUGAAAUGCGUAGAGAUCUGGAGGAACACCGAUGGCGAAGGCAGCCCCCUGGGCUAACACUGACGCUCAUGCACGAAAGCGUGGGGAGCAAACAGG
rnacentral:rRNA from 1 species